rnacentral:rRNA from 1 species
UACAGCGAAACUGCGAAUGGCUCAUUAUAUAAGUUAUCGUUUAUUUGAUAGUACCUUACUACUUGGAUAACCGUGGUAAUUCUAGAGCUAAUACAUGCUGAAAAUCCCGACUUCGGAAGGGAUGUAUUUAUUAGAUUCAAAACCAAUGCCCUCUGGGCUCACUGGUGAUUCAUGAUAACUCUUCGAAUCGCAUGGCCUUGCGCCGGCGAUGGUUCAUUCAAAUUUCUUCCCUAUCAACUUUCGAUGUUUGGGUAGUGGCCAAACAUGGUUGCAACGGGUAACGGAGGGUUAGGGCUCGACCCCGGAGAAGGAGCCUGAGAAACGGCUACUACAUCCAAGGAAGGCAGCAGGCGCGCAAAUUACCCAAUCCCGACACGGGGAGGUAGUGACAAUAAAUACUGAUACAGGGCUCUUUUGGGUCUUGUAAUUGGAAUGAGUACAAUUUAAAUCCCUUAACGAGGAACAAUUGGAGGGCAAGUCUGGUGCCAGCAGCCGCGGUAAUUCCAGCUCCAAUAGCGUAUAUUAAAGUUGUUGUGGUUAAAAAGCUCGUAGUUGAACCUUGGGCCUGGCUGGCCGGUCCGCCUCACCGCGUGUACUGGUCCGGCCGGGCCUUUCCCUCUGUGGAACCCCAUGCCCUUCACUGGGUGUGGCGGGGAAACAGGACUUUUACUUUGAAAAAAUUAGAGUGCUCCAGGCAGGCCUAUGCUCGAAUACAUUAGCAUGGAAUAAUGAAAUAGGACGCGCGGUUCUAUUUUGUUGGUUUCUAGGACCGCCGUAAUGAUUAAUAGGGACAGUCGGGGGCAUCAGUAUUCAAUUGUCAGAGGUGAAAUUCUUGGAUUUAUUGAAGACUAACUACUGCGAAAGCAUUUGCCAAGGAUGUUUUCAUUAAUCAGGAACGAAAGUUAGGGGAUCGAAGACGAUCAGAUACCGUCGUAGUCUUAACCAUAAACUAUGCCGACUAGGGAUCGGACGAUGUUAUUUUUUGACUCGUUCGGCACCUUACGAGAAAUCAAAGUGC